UACGAAGGGGGCUAGCGUUGUUCGGAAUUACUGGGCGUAAAGCGCGCGCAGGCGGUCUUCCAAGUCAGUGGUGAAAGCCCGGAGCUCAACUCCGGAACUGCCAUUGAAACUGUGAGAUUUGAGGAUGAGAGAGGUGAGUGGAAUUCCCAGUGUAGAGGUGAAAUUCGUAGAUAUUGGGAAGAACACCGGUGGCGAAGGCGGCUCACUGGCUCAUAUCUGACGCUCAGGCGCGACAGCGUGGGGAUCAAACAGG
rnacentral:rRNA from 1 species